GUAUCAGCCCUCCAAACCGCAUUCCAACGGACAGCAGUGAAAAAUUACCCCACACAUACGCACCUCAGGCGUUCCAGCGAAGCAGAAUGAGAAAACGGUGGGGAAAAGGAAAGAUUAGAGCCUCCUCCGAGCAGCCGAGCGGCACCGUCGCGGAGGAGAGGCUGCGCCGCGCAGCCGUGAGGACCGGAGGAGACUACACCACCGGUCCGGGAACCUGUUGCCGUGAACCGCCACGGCGGCAUGGAAGGAGCACCGCUGCGGAUUGGGGAGGAGCGCCGUCGCGGGCCUAGGGAGAGCGCUGCCCGGACCAAGCUCCCUGCUUGACCGAUCAAGGACUCUCGAUUCCGGCCGCCUGCAGCACAUCAGGCCAUCAGCUAACAGAAUGGCAGCACCGGGCAAAGCUAGCGGUAUGCAACAACAGGGAGGCUCUUGAUUUGCUUAUAUCUGGUUCUGCUAUUAAGUUACUGAAGCAAGGCAAGAAGUGCUUUGGCGUGAGUUCUUCCAACGUUGACUGGAGCAAUUGGGCGUGGCUUUGUCGGGCGCCGGGCAUGCUUUGGCAUGACUUCAUUGGACGUCGAGUGAAGCGGCUGGGCAUGGAUUGUCGUGGUAGCUCUGUCGACUUCAAUAUGUUCAAGUCGUGGUGGUUGUCGACUUCAAAUUGAUUGCUUGACAUGGCAAAGUCAAAAAAGAGCAAGGAAAAUAAUAUAGUAGGGAGUGCUGUUACUCAUCGGGUGAAACGGAAAAGGUUCUACCGUCGAGAUUCUGCUGGUACUUAUAGUGCAGUAGAUGGUCCAAGUCCACCGGCUAAAUCUACAAACACAGUAUCACCUGCUCCACCAGCUGCAGCAUCCGCUUCAAUUGUACCAGCAUCUCAACCAGUUACUCAUUCGUUUGCUCCGAAACUGGCCAGUUCCCAAGCUGCCUUCACACCUAACACUACUUCCGAAGCACUGCUGACACAACAGAACUUGGCAAGAUCAGAUGAACCUCAUGAGCAUCAACACCAAGACGCACCACGGCGCAAGCGGAAACAGACAUUAGGGAUAAUGCUUGACAGAUUAACAAAAUCUAAAGGAGGAAGAUUGGAGAUCCAUUUUGAGGCAGGUUUAAAAAGGCCACGUGAUGCUACAUAGUCAGCCAAGUUAGUAUCAGAGGCAGCCGUUGCCGUUAGGUGUCAUGCGCGUAUCCAGUACAGAAAUGAGAAAGACAAUACCCAGUUUAACACCUUCCUUGACCAUUUAUCCUCUGCUCUACGACGGUAUCGGUACCACCUUAGAAAAUCUCACUUUGAAGGCAAGGCUAACAAUGAAAUCGCCCAAACAUCUCCAGUGGAAUAUAUUACGGAUGAAAACUGGACAACCCUCGUUAAACACUGGUCUGAUCCAAAGUAUCAGAGGAAAGCCCAUGCUGAACAAAAAGAACCUGAACCGAAUGCAGUGCAAAUCUUCAAGGAUUGUCAUACCGGCAAGAUGAAGGGCAUGAUCACACCAGUUCAAGCCGCUGUUGGAGCUAUGGAACAAAUGAUUGAACAACCACAACCACCUGAAGGUGACGAGGCUACUACAGGCACAAUGUCACCUCUUGCUGUAGUGUGUCAAUAUCUCUCCACUAAUAGUGCAAAAAGCACCUUCCUGCGUAAUUUUGGGUUGGUUGUCAAGGUAACCUCGUCCAAAUCACCUUCUGAACAAAAUCUUCCUGCUAGAUAGAGUGAUAUAUCUGUGCUCCAGACACAAGUCCAAUCCCUAAUGGACGUUAUUUUGGAAACAAGAAUAGUGGUUGAGAAAUUUCGUCAAGAUAUGAAUGGUUUUGAAACCAGACUAUCAGACAUUAGCUUCGUUGUUCAAGAGGAAUGACGGAAAAAAGGUGGAGAUCGUGCUGCUCCAUCAGAUUCUACAGCCUGAAACAUUAGCACUCGGGUCAAAUGAUUUGUGCUUCUAUACAUCUGAUGGUGCUUUUAUCUGGAAGGACUGUAAACUUUAUGCCAACAGACCUUUUGUUGUAUGGUUGGAAUUUAUUUUGUUGUGAUACAACAUUUAUGAUGCUGCCAUAGGCUGCAGUAAUUAAGACGCCAUUUUUGUAUAGUGUAGGUCUAUCUUAGUAAUGUAUUCGGCCGAAAGCUUCGUAGGAGCCCAACAUGCCAACAUUCGUCGGGCCCAUUCCAAUUGGGC
rnacentral:rRNA from 1 species